rnacentral:rRNA from 1 species
GACGAACGCUGGCGGCGUGCCUAAUACAUGCAAGUCGAGCGGACGGAUGGGAGCUUGCUCCCAGACCGUCAGCGGCGGACGGGUGAGUAACACGUGGGCAACCUGCCUGUAAGACUGGGAUAACUCCGGGAAACCGGGGCUAAUACCGGAUAACUCUUUCCCUCACAUGAGGGAAAGCUGAAAGAUGGCAUCUCGCUAUCACUUACAGAUGGGCCCGCGGCGCAUUAGCUAGUUGGUGAGGUAACGGCUCACCAAGGCGACGAUGCGUAGCCGACCUGAGAGGGUGAUCGGCCACACUGGGACUGAGACACGGCCCAGACUCCUACGGGAGGCAGCAGUAGGGAAUCUUCCGCAAUGGACGAAAGUCUGACGGAGCAACGCCGCGUGAGUGAUGAAGGUUUUCGGAUCGUAAAACUCUGUUGUCAGGGAAGAACAAGUACCGGAGCAACUGCCGGCACCUUGACGGUACCUGACCAGAAAGCCACGGCUAACUACGU